CGCAAAAGGUGAGCCAAACCUGGUGAAGGUUGCGCAUGUUGACCUUUAUUUCUUUGCUUCUUCUGAAGGUCGCCUGACAGCGGAGAAGCCAGCUGUUCCGCGCUCAGCGCGUCUUUCUCUGGAGUGACGAUGGCCACCGUUUUUGUGACUUUUUCAUGUCCGUAUUUGCUUCACGUUGAGCCUCACGUACAAUACCUGAAGAUGAAGUUUUGUUCGUUCGGCUCGCGUUAUGCAGGUAAAUCCAGCUGCUUGUGUGUCAGUGGGGGCAAAUGGAGGUGGAAGAGCAGAUGUCCCGCUCGCAUCAUCCUUACCUGGAUUAGUCACCGUGGAAACCUUCCACCUGAAGGAGGGCAUUUAUUCAGUACAAUCUGUGCGUCAGUGUAUGUGUAUGUAUGUUAGCAUGCACAUACACAAACAGUCAGUGGUGUGUGUGUGUGUGCUUGCUUGCUUGCUUGCAAAUGUGUGUGUGUGUAGGUGCAUUCACUGACUAUUCAAAUAGUUCAGACUCACACUGACCCAGAAAACAAGAUCUCUCUCAGGAGUGUUAACACAC